rnacentral:misc_RNA from 1 species
AGAUUGUGCGAGAUAAACUCGAGAAAAUGGCCGUCCUACCACCAACUCUACCUUUUCCACAACAAAUGAAUGGCGACACGAUGCUGGAUAAUGGACCCAGUGAAAUAAAAAGAAUGAAAACAGAUGAAGAGCUUAUGUUAGCCAUCGGCUAACAAACAGGUGUCACAAGGAGGGAAGCAAACACUUUGCAGAAAUGCCGACAUGGAUAUCCGGCCACACUGUCUUCACAAUGUCUUGUAGAGAUAUUUCGCGCAGUUUUAUGAUCAGUACUAAAACUACAUGUAUAUGACUGUUAAACCCAUUGAGGUUUAUUUUUUUUUCGUACAUGGAUUUCAAAUUUUUUUUUAUGAUAGAUUCUUUAAAUGAAGCAUGCAGAGAAUAUAGCUGGGAAAAAUAUUCUAUAUUUUCACAUUAAAUAGUCGUUUGUGGAAAUGCUGUAUAUUUUUUGACUGUAGUAUCUAGGGUAUUGAAUGAAGGUGUGAGUGAGUGUGUGCAUGUAACCUCUCUUGUUUGUAUUUGCAGAACUGAUCCAGACAAGAAAGAAAAACAAGAGUUCUUAUUUAUUUAUAUCUACUAAUAUGGAAGUAGCUUGAAAAUUAUAUGUUAAAAAAAACUCUCAUUUUAUACAUAACCAGUGUAUGGCAAUUUACAUUUCAGAAAUCUCUGUAUUUUUGAAGCAUUUCAGAUCAGAACAGGCGAUCUCCGUGAGAUUAAAAGCACAAAGAAAAUAUGCUCAAGUUCUCUAACGCAGACCAUCCAUGAGAAAGUCACACCAAAGCUUAGGACUGAUUGAUUUGCAAACUUUCAUAAUUUGUUUUGUGUCUAUUAAGUGAAAUUAAAUUCCAUACAAAAUUUUUCAUGCCUUCAAUAGCACAUUUUUUGACGGUUAAUCUUUUUUAAAUUAAUAAUCUAUUGCCAACCAUUUUGCUUUUAUUGAGCACAUUAUCAUAAUCUAUUCAGAUUAUACUUAUUUUAGAGGUAAGUAUUAAUUAAUAAAAAAGAAUUAAAUGACACAAAACAAAUUAAUAAGAGGAAAACAUUUUAUUGUAUAUCUUUUGGGACUGCUUUUGUUUUAUUAGCAAACAUUUCCUCUUUUAUGCAAAGUUUGCAAUAGUAUUUUUUUUUUCAAAUUAACUUUUAGGACAGAUAGGGAUGCUAUUUUGAAAAAAAGAAUAAUCACAUUUUGUUAUGAGAAAUUGAAAUUGUUGCCUGAUGAACACUCACACAUGGAUGUUUUCUUUCCUUCUGUGUUUUUCAUGUAAAAAGGAAAAUAUGAGGUUGACCCCCUUUUCAUGUGGCGACCAAAAUAUCAUGAUGCUGUGUUGCCAUGACAACAUGAAUCAGACAUCCACUGGAGCGUAGCGAAAAUGGAGUCUAUAUCCCUCAAGCGGAUCAGGUUGGAUCCCUUCUGGAAGGGCCAGGGGCAAAGAGAGACCAGAAACCAUUCACUCUUCCGAAGCUGUCGUCCACACAGCACGAGCUUGUACAGAAGGCAAAGAAAUACGCCUUUGAGCAGAGCAUCAAAAGUGUUCUUGUUAAACAGACUAUAGCCCAUCAGCAACAGCAAAUGCAGAAUUUCCAGACAACGGUACAAAGACAACAGGCUCUAGCCUUGAUGUGCAGGAUAUAUGUUGGAAGUAUAAACUUUGAGAUUAAGGAGGACACAAUAAAGCAGGCCUUUAUUCCCUUCGGUCCAAUUAAGAGUGUCAACCUUUCAUGGGACCCUGUCACCAAUAAACACAAGGGCUUUGCCUUCAUUGAGUACGAGAUCCCCGAGGCCGCACAGCUCGCUCUGGAGCAGAUGAACAGUGUCAUGAUUGGUGGCAGAAACAUCAAGGUUGGGCGACCCAGUAACAUGCCUCAAGCUCAGCCAAUCAUUGAACAGUUGGCGACGGAAGCCAAGAACCACAACAGAAUCUACAUAGCCUCGAUACAUCACGAUCUUACAGAGAACGAUAUUCAGAGUGUAUUUGAAGCAUUUGGAAAAAUUGUCAACUGUAAACUGGCCACAGAAACUGGUAAACCUGGAAAACACAAGGGAUAUGGUUUCAUUGAGUUUGAUUCCCAGCAAGCGGCCCAGGAUGCUGUGACAUCCAUGAAUUUAUUUGAUCUUGGAGGCCAGUACCUAAGAGUCGGAAGGGCCAUCACCCCUCCCGAUGCCCUGCAACCGAUGGCUGGGCCCGGCACAUUACCAACCGCAGCAGCUGUAGCGGCAGCAGCAGUCACCGCAAAAAUCACCGCAAUGGACGCCCAGGAACAAAUCAAGAGCCUGGCUCCCCCAGGAGUUGCUAAGCCCAUGAGUCUUGGGAACAGUCCGUCCCUGUCCAGCUCACCUGUCCCCCCGCCAGGUGUGGUGGCCCCUGUACCUGUCCCACCCGUGUCUGUGGUGGUGCCACAGCUUGGUUCAGCAGGCAUUGUAACCACCACUGCACUGGGGAUGGUGAUGCCACCCGCAGUGGAAGGAGUCCCUGGAAUCGUCCCCACAGCUGUCGUGGCCCCUACAGGGCUGGGUGUUGUUGCUCCUGUACCUGUCCCAACUUCUAUACCAGUUGCCAUGCCAGCUAUGAUUCCCCUACCUCCUCAGGACAAGGAGAAGGAGCUGAAGAAGGAAGAGGAAGAUAAGAAGAAGAAGGCGGAUGAAGACUCCACACAGACACUGGACCAACAGGAGAACAUGAAGAUCAGCGGCACCAACGCGCGCCACAUGGUGAUGCAGAAACUCAUGAGGAAAACGGAGUGUAAAGUGAUGGUUCUGAGAAACAUGGUGGGACCAGAGGACUUGGACAGUGAACUUGAGAAUGAGGUCACGGACGAAUGUGGAAAAUACGGAAAUGUUAAUCGUGUCAUCAUAUAUCAGGAGAAACAGAGCGAGGAGGAAGACGCAGAGAUUAUUGUCAAAAUAUUCGUAGAGUUCACUGCUCAAUCAGAGGUGGAAAAGGCUUGUGCUGCCCUCAAUGGAAGAUACUUUGCUGGUCGAAUUGUCACUGCAGAAAAGUACGACGAGGACAUGUUCAAUGCGAACGAUUUAUCAGGAUGAAAAAAACGUGUUGCAGUUGUCUGAAUUUACAAGACUAAUGAGAACUUAUACACAAGACUAGUGAGAUCUUAUACAAACAUUUGUUACCAUGAGAAGGUUAAACUGGAGGUGUGCAUCUAAUGACGAAUCCUUGACUAUUGUUGUUGAUUGAAGGGUUUUUUCAGCCGAAUUUGUACAAAAUAAUCUUUUGUAUCAACACAACCAUGUUUUUUCAUUUAUUAUUGUACAUCACUUCGCUAUGUUGACAUGAUUGUUAGAGAUUGUUACAUCCAGAUGUAUGGCAGCUUGUGCUGGCCCUAUGUACAGCGGAACUAAAGAAAUUGUUCUGUAUCUAAUAAAGAUGU